GUGCUUACCUCAGCAGCAUAUAUGUUAAAAUUAGGAACAAUACAGAGAUUAGCAUGACCCCUGCACAACAAUGACACUCAAAUUCAUGAGGCAUUCUUUAUUUUU
rnacentral:snRNA from 1 species